rnacentral:rRNA from 1 species
CCCUGGCUCAGGACGAACGCUGGCGGCAUGCCUAAUACAUGCAAGUCGAGCGGAGUAAGAAUGGAAGCUUGCUUCCAUUCUUACUUAGCGGCGGACGGGUGAGUAACACGUAGGCAACCUGCCCUCAAGACUGGGAUAACUACCGGAAACGGUAGCUAAUACCGGAUAAUUUCUUUCCUCUCCUGAAGAGAGAAUGAAAGGCGGAGCAAUCUGCCACUUGGGGAUGGGCCUGCGGCGCAUUAGCUAGUUGGUGGGGUAACGGCUCACCAAGGCGACGAUGCGUAGCCGACCUGAGAGGGUGAACGGCCACACUGGGACUGAGACACGGCCCAGACUCCUACGGGAGGCAGCAGUAGGGAAUCUUCCGCAAUGGGCGAAAGCCUGACGGAGCAAUGCCGCGUGAGUGAUGAAGGUUUUCGGAUCGUAAAGCUCUGUUGCCAGGGAAGAACGUCCGGUAGAGUAACUGCUACCGGAGUGACGGUACCUGAGAAGAAAGCCCCGGCAACUA